AACGCACAUUGCGCCCUUUGGCAUUCCGAAGGGCAUGCCUGUUCGAGCGUCAUUGCACCUCUCAAGCGCAGCUUGGUGUUGGGUUGUUGUCCCUCGCGCAUCGCGGCGGGACUCGCCUGAAAAGCAUCGGCGUCCGGCGGUUGGUCUUGCGCGUAGCAGAUUGUUCGCACAAGGACCAGACCGCGGGGCUGCCGCAUACGUCUUUGAUUCUCAGUUUGACCUCGGAUCAGGUAGGGAUACCCGCUGAACUUAA
rnacentral:misc_RNA from 1 species